rnacentral:rRNA from 1 species
UGGGGAAUAUUGCACAAUGGGGGAAACCCUGAUGCAGCGACGCCGCGUGAGUGAGGAAGUAUUUCGGUAUGUAAAGCUCUAUCAGCAGGGAAGAAAAUGACGGUACCUGACUAAGAAGCCCCGGCUAACUACGUGCCAGCAGCCGCGGUAAUACGUAGGGGGCAAGCGUUAUCCGGAUUUACUGGGUGUAAAGGGAGCGUAGACGGGGCAGCAAGUCUGAUGUGAAAAUCCGGGGCCCAACCCCGGAAGUGCAUUGGAAACUGCUGUCCUGGAGUGCCGGAGAGGCAAGUGGAAUUCCUGGUGUAGCGGUGAAAUGCGUAGAUAUCAGGAGGAACACCAGUGGCGAAGGCGGCUUGCUGGACGGUAACUGACGUUGAGGCUCGAAAGCGUGGGGAGCAAACAGG